rnacentral:rRNA from 1 species
UAGUGGCAGACGGGUGAGUAACACGUGGGUAACCUACCUUCAAGCUGGGGAUAACAGUUGGAAACGACUGAUAAUACCGAAUAAGAUAUAGCAAUAUAUUGAAAGGAGCCUUUAAAGCUCCACUUAAAGAUGGGCCUGCGGCGUAUUAACUAGUUGGUGAGGUAAUGGCUCACCAAGGUGACGAUGCGUAGCCGAACUGAGAGGUUGAUCGGCCACACUGGGACUGAGACACGGCCCAGACUCCUACGGGAGACAGCAGUUAGGAAUAUUCGUCAAUGGGGGAAACCCUGAACGAGCAAUGCCGCGUGAGUGAUGAAGGCCCUAUGGGUUGUAAAACUCUGUUGUAUGGGAAGAACGGCUAUAUUAGGAAAUGAAUAUAGAGUGACGGUACCAUACCAGAAAGCUCCGGCUAACUACGUGCCAGCAGCCGCGGUAAUACGUAGGGAGCGAGCGUUAUCCGGAUUUAUUGGGCGUAAAGCGUGCGUAGGCGGUUUAUUAAGUUUAAGAUAAAAGCCCGGGGCUCAACUCCGGUUCGUCUUAAAAACUGGUAGACUUGAGUGUGGUAGAGGUAAAUGGAAUUUCUAGUGUAGCGGUGAAAUGCGUAGAUAUUAGAAGGAACACCAGUGGCGAAGGCGAUUUACUGGGCCAUAACUGACGCUGAGGCACGAAAGCGUGGGGAGCAAAUAGGAUUAGAUACCCUAGUAAUCCACGCCGUAAACGAUGAGUACUAAGUGUUGGAGAUUCCAGUGCUGAAGCUAACGUAUUAAGUACUCCGCCUGAGUAGUACGGUCGCAAGGCUGAAACUCAAAGGAAUUGACGGGCACCCGCACAAGCGGUGGAGCAUGCUGUUUAAUUCGAAGAUACGCGAAGAACCUUACCUAGACUUGACAUCCCCGGCAAAGACAUGGAAACAUGUUGGAGGUUACCCGGGAGACAGGUGGUGCAUGGUUGUCGUCAGCUCGUGUCGUGAGAUGUUCGGUUAAGUCCGCUAACGAGCGCAACCCUUAUCCUUAGUUGCUAACAGUAAGAUGAGAACCCUAAGGAGACUGCCGGUGAUAAGCCGGAGGAAGGUGGGGAUGACGUCAAAUCAUCAUGCCCCUUACGUCUAGGGCUACAGGCGUGCUAUAAUGGCCAAUAUAAAGAGAAGCAAUACCGUGAGGUGGAGCAAAACUCCAAAGUUGGUCUCAGCUCGGAUUGAAGUCUGCAACUCGACUUCAUGAAGUUAGAAUCGCUAGUAAUCCUGAAUCAGAAUGUCAGGGUGAAUACGUUCCCGGGUGUUGCACACACCGCCCGUCA